CAGAGAAGGAGAACCGCAGAGUCAAAUGCCAAGCUAGGCAGAGGCAAUGUAAGAGCCCCACAUUACUUGAAGCACUGUAAGGUGCCUUCACAGAGCUGGGAUUCAUAACAGAUGCACACUCGGUCACAGGAGAGGGGAGCUGCCAGACCCUGCUCAGCCUUCAAGGACCUCGAUCAAAAAGCUCCAGGGAGUAUCCUGGAGCAGCUACUGUGGCAGAGCAGCUGAAGGUCACUAGGUGCUGGUAUUGUUAAAGAAAUUCCAUCUGCCAUCUGCUGGGGGAAACUUUCUCUGAGGCAAUGUGCUGUACUGACACAGAUGACUGCUCCGCUGGCAGCAUGAAGAGGGAGUUAUUUCUCAAGAGGAAGCUUUAUUCUGUUAAUGCACCAACUUCCAGCACAGAUGCAAAGGACACACAAAGAGUCAGGGUCAAGAUGAGUCUGUAAUAGAACACAAACCUCUGGACCUAUGUCACAGCAUGACAGCCUGGAAGCAAGAAUUAACUCAUUUCCAAAUCCUACUUCACUUGAACCUCCAAAGUGUUCAGGUUACAGAUGACAUGAUCACAGUCACGAGGUGAACUGCAUUUUAAAGACAAGUUGCUAAGCAUUAAGUAAAAAAAUUCUCAAUUUAUUUUUUCAAUCUUUUUGCAGACUGAAAAACCUCUGCAAGGCUAUGAGACAGGCAGCUAUCCUUGCCAUGCCAGAACAAGCAGACAGGAAUUCAGCACCCACUUUUUAGAUGCAGUCUUCAGUUUCCUGUACCCAACACU